UCGCCCCGGAAGUCGUUCCGUGGCUGGGGUGGUAAGGUCGGGCCAUGGUGGGGCCGAGGUUGGGAAGAUGGCGUGGCGAGGCUGGGCACACAGAGGCUGGGGCUGCGGCCAGGCGUGGGCCCCGCGGGUGGGCGGCCACAUCUCCGAGGAGCUCCCCACGGGCCUGGCCCUGCCGCGGCUGUCCGGACGCAGGUUUAACUUCUUUAUUCAGCAAAAAUGUGGCUUCAGAAAAGCACCCAGGAAGGUUGAACCUCGAAGAUCAGACACAGGGUUGAGUGGUGGAGCAUACAAGAGAAGUGCUCUGAUUCCUCCUGUGGAAGAAACAGUCUUCGAUCCUUCUCCCUAUCCGAUAAGAACUCUGUUGAAACCUUUUUUUUUUACUGUUGGGUUCACAGGCUGUGCAUUUGGAUCAGCUGCUAUUUGGCAAUAUGAAUCACUAAAAUCCAGGGUCCAGAGUUAUUUUGAUGGUGUAAAAGCUGACUGGUUGGAUAGCAUAAGACCACAAAAAAAAGGAGACCUCAGAAAGGAGAUUAACAAGUGGUGGAAUAACCUAAGUGAUGGCCAGCGGACUGUGACAGGCAUCAUAGCCGCAAAUGUUCUUGUAUUCUGCUUAUGGAGAGUACCUUCUCUACAACGGACGAUGAUCAGAUAUUUUACGUCCAAUCCAGCCUCAAGGGUCCUCUGUGCUCCGAUGCUGCUGUCGCCAUUCAGUCACCUCUCCCUGCUCCACAUGGCGGCAAACAUGUAUGUCCUGUGGAGCUUCGCCUCCAGCGUCGUGAGUCUCCUGGGGCGGGAGCAGUUCAUGGCCGUGUACCUGUCUGCAGGUGUUAUUUCCAAUUUUGUCAGUUACGUGUGUAAAGUUGCCACGGGAAGAUAUGGACCGUCACUUGGUGCAUCUGGCGCCAUCAUGACCGUGCUGGCAGCUGUGUGCACAAAGGUUCCGGACGGGAGGCUCGCCAUCAUCUUCCUGCCCAUGCUCACCUUCACGGCGGGCAGCGCCCUGAAAGCCAUCAUUGCCUUGGACACAGCAGGGGUGAUCCUGGGCUGGAAGUUCUUUGACCACGCAGCACAUCUUGGGGGUGCCCUCUUUGGAAUGCAGGAGAGGAAGCAACCAGCACAGUCUAGACCCUGCCUCGGAGCCAGCAAGCACAACAGAGGCUUCGAGAAAGCCAGCUGUCCCUCACUGCUGACCUGGCCCAGCAGCCUUCCCUGGGCAGGUCCCGGUGGGAGCCCCCUACACCCCCUGCUCAGAGUGCCGGCUUCUGCUGUGAGCAGGAGCAAGUUUCUCCCACUCUGAGCUUUGCUGCCAGGGCUCACAGCUGGGCUGGCUUCACAGGAAGAUGGAAGCCAGAUGGUAUGUCACCUAUGGCCAUGAGCUCAUCUGGAAGAACAGGGAGCCGCUGGUGAAGCUCUGGCACGAGAU